rnacentral:rRNA from 1 species
AACGAACGCUGGCGGCAUGCCUAACACAUGCAAGUCGAACGAGAUCUUCGGGUCUAGUGGCGCACGGGUGCGUAACGCGUGGGAAUCUGCCCUUUGGUUCGGAAUAACAGUUGGAAACGACUGCUAAUACCGGAUGAUGACGAAAGUCCAAAGAUUUAUCGCCAGAGGAUGAGCCCGCGUAGGAUUAGCUAGUUGGUGUGGUAAAGGCGCACCAAGGCGACGAUCCUUAGCUGGUCUGAGAGGAUGAUCAGCCACACUGGGACUGAGACACGGCCCAGACUCCUACGGGAGGCAGCAGUGGGGAAUACUGGACAAUGGGCGAAAGCCUGAUCCAGCAAUGCCGCGUGAGUGAUGAAAGCCUUAGGGUUGUAAAGCUCUUUUACCCGGGAUGAUAAUGACAGUACCGGGAGAAUAAGCUCCGGCUAACUCCGUGCCAGCCGCCGCAGUAA